AGCAGCCGCGGUAAUUCCAGCUCCAAUAGCGUAUAUUAAAGUUGCUGCAGUUAAAAAGCUCGUAGUUGAAUUUCGGGACCAUCACGUCGGUCGUGCCUCGGUACGUACUGGCGUCGUUGGUUUCUCCCUUCUGACGAACCAUGAUGUCAUUUAUUUGGUGUCGUGGGGAAUCAGGACUGUUACUUUGAAAAAAUUAGAGUGUUUAAAGCAGGCUCACGCUUGAAUACAUUAGCAUGGAAUAAUGAAAUAGGACGUUUGAUUCUAUUUUGUUGGUUUCUAGGAUCGACGUAAUGAUUAAUAGGGAUAGUUGGGGGCAUUAGUAUUCAAUUGUCAGAGGUGAAAUUCUUGGAUUUAUUGAAGACUAACUACUGCGAAAGCAUUUGCCAAGGAUGUUUUCAUUAAUCAAGAACGAAAGUUAGGGGGUCGAAGACGAUCAGAUACCGUCGUAGUCUUAACCAUAAACUAUGCCGACUAGGGAUCGGAUGAUGUUAAUUUUUUAAUGUACUCAUUCGGCGCCUUA
rnacentral:rRNA from 1 species